UUGUGUGACAUCCUAUUUAGUUGAUUACUCUGAUGUUUAUGCAAAAAUUUUAAAGUUGGAAAAACAGGGUGUUACAGGCUGCACGAAGCAAAAGCACACCCGCUGAACCUAACCAACAGACCCCAAAAAACCACCCUCAAGUGAGCAGCAAAACGCAGCUGCUUAUGGAACAAUGCACAACAGAGAAAUCUACUUAUGUUACAACAAAACAGGAAAAUAAUUUCUACACCAAAAUAGCAGCAGCUCCGCACUCCUGUCAUAACCGUCCGAACAGUAGCCACCAAAGGCCGCUAUAAACAACGUCAAUCUAUUACCUCAUCAAAUAAUCUCGUGGACACCAACACCACUCGUAGAAAAUACAAGCUGGAUUGUUGAAUCUACCUAACAACCACCUUCAAGACAUUACUUUUAGUCAAAGAACUUUGAUUUUGACUUGAUAGUUAAGGUAAUGCACAAUCUAUACCAUAUAGCAGCUUUGUUGUAUAGACAAUUUAGUCAAAUACUAUGAAUUCUAAGGUAAUUCACUGUCUAUACCAUAUACCAUCAGUUAAAAAAACAGACUGCAUCAUCCAAGUUUGGCAGCAACAAAAAACUCCAGCAUAAAAACAGAAAAAUAAAACACAAUGCUACAGGUCCGUCGUAGCAUCAUAAACACAGUGAUAAAGAUCAAUUAUUUGCAAUUCAAAUAGUAAUAUAAUGAAAUGAGCAUUGGUUGCCAAUUUUUUUUGGAUCAAUACUGGUUGCCAAUUGAUCAUAUAUUCCACCUUAAUAGUAAGUUCAAUAAGCAAGUAAAUGGUUUUCUUCAAUUAACAUAGAUAGCAUAUCAUAUUUAUCAUAGUAGAUGUAUCCUUUGGAGUGCAUACAACCUUGCACCAAAGUGUGUAGAAGGUACAUCCCUACUAGAAUGUUGGACAAGAAAUUCAUCUUCUAAUGAGAUGAUGGCUCGUAAAACAUUGUGAAAGUGACGGCUGACAGUUUCACCGGAACGGUGGAAAAAGAAUGACACAAUACGAUUUUUCACAUUAUGACCAAUGAUGUGUAGAAAUUUAGCAGCUUGCUCUUUAACUGUGAAUCGUAUUGUAUCCUUCACAAUACCAGUUCCUCUCAAUUUAUGACACAACAACAUGAAUGCCUCAGGUCCCAUUCGUAUUAUGUCGCUGCAUUUUUCAGUUUCUACUAGUUGUCUCAUUAAAUCAAUAUGCCUACGCUCUCUCUCAUGACUUCCAUGACUAAUAGGAUUACGCCAACGUGACAUUAUGUUAAGCAUGUGUAAGGUAUGAACAAUAUAACACAAUAUAGGACCACAAAAUAAAGAUGUUGUUGCCUUUCGAAUCGAUGUCGAAAUUGACAUAAAUUUAACAUGCCAAGAUUAGUCGAAGGUUUUAUUUUAGAAUGUACUUCUUUUAUACCAUGAGAUUCAUCACCAGACUUAUCUUCCUCAUUAAUAAAAGAAUCCAUGUCACAAAGUGGAAUGUUAACCUUCAAUCAGAGUAUAAAAUCAAUUGAUGAAACAAAUAAUUUGACAUUAGAAAAUCCCUAAAUAAUUCCCUCACAAAUCAAAAGAUUUGGAGAGUUUAGAAUUUAAUUUGUAAUAUUUUGUAACAAACAAUCAUAAGUAGUGCAAUUAAGAGUUGAUAUAUUUAAAGGGGAAAAAACACACAUAUUUAACUUUUAAAUGAUUUUUAUGUAGAAAUAAUUUUUUUAACACUUGAUUUACGAGUUAAAGACUCUUGAUGCUAUACACAAGUUUUCCAUAAUGCAUAUUUAUCUCCCCUGCAAUCUCUAUUAAAACAAGAAUCUAGAGUUCAUUUUGUUUUUAGAUAAACAAAUCACUUUAUUAAGAAAAAUCAUCCAGCUUAGCAUAAACAGAUAGCAUCAUCACACACAUACCAAACAAUUGAAAGAAAAAACACUCAUAACCUAAGAACACACAAAAUCACUACCUAAAGACAAUAACACAUGACAGAUGACAAAAUAUCAACUCCAACUAUGUUGCAGCCAACAAACUGCAUAGCGUUCUGGUGUCUGCAGUGGCAGCCCUGCUGCUGUUAUAUGUUUUGCAGUUGUUUGCUAUCAUAUAUGUUUUAGGUGUGAUUGAGGCAGCUGGCUUUUUUAUGGUGUGUUUUUAAUUGUUUGGUUAGGUGCAGCUGCGUUGGUUUUGUAUGUUUAGCUGUGUAGUGUGGUCACUAGAUUGCAAUUGUGGUCUCUAUCCCUGAACUCUCAUACGAUGGGGUUUGUUUUGUUUCUUUUCAGCUACUUUCUUCUCUUAUUGAGAGUUUGGAAGCUUAAAUAAUAUUGGCUUUUCAAAAAAAAAAAGUAGGAUCAAACUUUCUUCAUUUCGUAAAUGAAAUCCUUAACACCCAUCACUCAGAUUCAUUUGAGUCUUUUAAGCCAAUUGAUGUCCCAAACAUCAGCCUCAUCUCUAACAAUGAAAUCCUUAACACACAACCUAUAUCUGCAGCUCCCGGCUUCCCUUUCAACGAUCCAUCCACAUUCCAUUACCAAACAUUUUGUGGAGGGGGACACCAUAUUGCUGACAAUCUAUUUCCAUGUUUUAAUCUCUUGAAUUUUAUACAAAUGGACCACGUGAUACACAUAUUCUAUGAAAGGUUUGAGACUUGAGAGACCACCUACCUAAUCCCCAACACGACAUCACAUUGGUAUCAGGCUGCCAUGACAACUUCUGAUAACACACUAGAACACUACCUAUAACAAAUCUUAGGCCUAAAAACAUUCAUAACCCCAUUCUAAGUUUGAUUAAAAAAACUCCAAAACAACAACAAUGUCUUGUUUUAUGUUGCCUUCCCAACAUCCAUAAUUUACCCAAACUGAAACCAACAUGACUUAAUAUACCCAAAUUGAAGGGGAAAAAAGUAAAAAAAAAUAGUCACCUAAAUCAGAUUUUCUAUGAAACCUAGAACACAAAUUAUUUUUUCUCACUUCAUCCGAAAAGCAUUUCAAAGUAUAAUAAAAUGAGGGGAGAAAACAUACAAGGAAUAAAAUUUCAUCAAAACAAAAUAAAUCUCAUGCAUAGAAGAUAAUGAAAAAAAAAACAUACUUAAUUCAAAAUCAAAAUUUUCAAUAAAUAAAGGAAUACCUAAAUGGAAGGGGAAAAAACACAUGAAAAAGAAGAGAGUUAGAAAAGUACCUUACAAAACAAUGAGGUCAAGAUUGAUAGCAAAGAAAAAUGGAGGCAGUGCAACAAUUUGGAUUAAGCAGAUGGCAGAGAAGAAACCAUUGAAAGAGAAAAUAGUGAACCCUCU
rnacentral:lncRNA from 1 species